rnacentral:misc_RNA from 1 species
UUAAGGGAGACCUACCCAACUUAUUGAUUCGAUUGCUAUUAUUAAUAGUAGUUGAGAUAAGAUCGAUGAGAUGGUCAACCGAAGGUCGUUGGGGAUUGGAGAAAAGGCUUUCAAACUAUAUUUCGUUUUUUUACGAAAUGAUUCAGCACCGAAGCUAAAAACUAAUGGUAUUAGUUUCUAGUUUAGAAUGCUGAAAUUGAUUUCAGCCAGAACCAUGAAAACUGCAUAGUGACGUAAAUGUAAUGUAGGUAGUAAUCAAACACUAUCGAACAAUUUAUCGGUUGGUAACAACUGAGCGAUUGAUUCAGGAGAAUUUGAUUGAUGACGUAUAUUCACAGACAAAAAAAUUGAUUUGAUGAAUU